rnacentral:lncRNA from 1 species
CGUAUCCACAACAACCAUGGAAUGGAGCUUCUCCCUUGCAAUGGCCUAGAAAGGACAUGAGAAGAGGAUCUAAAAGGUCACAAUAAUAUAGAGCCAUGGUAGCGGUAAAGGAAUAACUGAAAGGAAGAAAUGAUGACUUGAAGGUCCAUGAGCCAAAAUAUCCAGGAGAAGAGUAGUCAGUAAGAAAUCAGAAAGCCAAGAACAAGAAGUUUCUGAAGGGACGGCUAGAAAAGAAGAGUAGAUGUGAGAAGAAAUAUUUUGGACACUGUAAACCAACAUUUAUUCAAAAGAUAUAUAAUUUGAUCUUUUCUGUGCCAAUAAA